rnacentral:tRNA from 1 species
GCCUGGGUGGCUCAGUCGGUUGAGCAUCCGACUUUGGCUCAGGUCACGAUCUCGCGGUCCGUGAGUUCGAGCCCCGCGUCAGGCU